GUGGUCACUUCAGCAGCACAUAUAGUAAAAUUGUUACAAUACAGAGAAGAUUAGCAUGGCCCCUACACAAAGAUGAUAUGCAAAGUCAUGAAGUGUUCCAUAUUUCA
ensembl:snRNA U6 U6 spliceosomal RNA